rnacentral:rRNA from 1 species
UACGAAGGGGGCUAGCGUUGCUCGGAAUCACUGGGCGUAAAGGGCGCGUAGGCGGCCAUUCAAGUCGGAGGUGAAAGCCCAGGGCUCAACCCUGGAAUUGCCUUCGAUACUGUUUGGCUAGAGACCGGAAGAGGUAAGUGGAACUGCGAGUGUAGAGGUGAAAUUCGUAGAUAGUUCGCAAGAACACCAGUGGCGAAGGCGGACUUACUGGUCCGGUUCGUGACGCUGAGGCGCGAAAGCGUGGGGAGCAAACAG